GGCUAACGCUGGCGGCGUGUCUUAGCCAUGCAAGUCGAGCGGACUUAUGGGGUAACGUUAUAAGUCAGCGGCGGACGGCGGAGUAACACGUAGCUAACCUACCCUCUGGACGGGGAUAACCUACCGAAAGGUGGGCUAAUACCCGAUGUAGUCAUCCUGUAUAGGGGUGAUGAAAGGUGGGCUUCUGUUUACAAGCUCAUGCUGGAGGAGGGGGCUGCGGCCUAUCAGGUAGUUGGUAGGGUAAUAGCCUACCAAGCCGAUGACGGGUAGCCGGCCUGAGAGGGUGACCGGCCCGAGGGGCACUGAGAUACGGGUCCCACUCCUACGGGAGGCAGCAGGCUAGAAAUUUGGGCAAUGGGGGAAACCCUGACCCAGUGACGCCGCGUGCAGGAAGGAGCCCUUCGGGGUGUAAACUGCUGUCGUGUAGGGAGAAGGGUACUAAGGUGAACAAUCUUAGUACUUGACGGUACUACAGGAGGAAGCCCAGGCUAACCUCGUG
rnacentral:rRNA from 1 species